rnacentral:rRNA from 1 species
UACGUAGGGGGCAAGCGUUGUCCGGAUUUAUUGGGCGUAAAGAGCGUGUAGGCGGCCAGGUAGGUCCGCUGUGAAAACUCGAGGCUCAACCUCGAGACGCCGGUGGAAACCAUCAGACUAGAGUCCGGAAGAGGAGAGUGGAAUUCCUGGUGUAGCGGUGAAAUGCGCAGAUAUCAGGAAGAACACCCGUGGCUAAGGCGGCUCUCUAGUACGGUACUGACGCUGAGACGCGAAAGCGUGGGUAGCGAACAGG